rnacentral:rRNA from 1 species
CCUGGAGCAGCCUGCCGCGUGUUGAAGAAGGCCUUCGGGUUGUAAAGUACUUUCAGCAGUGAGGAAGGUAGUGUAGUUAAUAGCUGCAUUAUUUGACGUUAGCUGCACAAGAAGCACCGGCUAAAUCCGUGCCAGCAGCCGCGGUAAUA